CAAGAAGUAGUUUAAUUAGAAUAUCAGCUUUGGGUGUUGAUGGUGGAGGGGUAAUCCUUCCUUCUUGA
rnacentral:tRNA from 1 species